AUUCCAGCUCCAAUAGCGUAUAUUAAAGUUGUUGCAGUUAAAAAGCUCGUAGUUGGAUUUCAGAGUGAGCUCGUCCGGUCGGCCUAAAUGGUCUGAACUGGUUGACUCUCUCUUGCUUGUGGAUCCCGCCCGGAGUUAACUCUUCGGAUGUGGACUUCACAUCGUUUACCUUGAAAAAAUUAGAGUGUUCAAAGCAGGCGUAUGCUUGAAUAUAUUAGCAUGGAAUAAUGGAAUAGGACCCUGGUUCUAUUUUGUUGGUUUUGAGGACCAGAGUAAUGAUUAAUAGGGAUAGUUGGGGGCAUUCAUAUUUCAUUGUCAGAGGUGAAACUCUUGGAUUUAUGAAAGAUGAACUUCUGCGAAAGCAUUUGCCAAGGAUGUUUUCAUUA
rnacentral:rRNA from 1 species